AGGGAGCUAGUCCAAAACAAGACCUCUGAUUUCGGCUCAGAAGAUCGUGGUUUAACCCCACGUCUCCCCU
rnacentral:tRNA from 1 species